GUGGACGGAUCCUCUUUCGGGUUCUGGGCUGGGCCGGAGAGCGAGGAUAGAGCUAGGCCUAAAUGGAAUCGGCCUAAGGAGUAGAGGUGGCGUGGCCGGCCUGAUGAGGGGAGCCGGAUGAACCUGGUCGUGAGGCUUAGUGGACUGGACCCAAUUGGCGUGAAUGGCUUGAGAAUCUCUGAGCAGUGGGCUAUUUUCAUGGGCCUAGCCCUAGACGGGGAUGAGGUGAACUCAGGGGUCAUCAAUUGCCCCUUUACCUUCUCGGCAGUUAUUGCUCCAACUGUCGAGGGGGUAAACCCCUAGAAUCAUUAUGACCGCGUCUGUUGAAAUUUGGCUUGCCCUUUCAUCUUAUUGCCACUUGCAGCUUUAAAUCUUCUCUACCUUUUUCUAUAUUUAGCUUUCCUCUGCCAUUUGUGCGCACUGUUACCCUCGUUUUCUUACUUUUAUCUUCCCGGUACAUUUUCUUUCCUUUUUGGUGAAUAGCCUUUAAGGAUUCUGAUGCUACUAGCCUAGNN
rnacentral:lncRNA from 1 species